rnacentral:rRNA from 1 species
AACGAACGCUGGCGGCAUGCCUAACACAUGCAAGUCGAACGAGACCUUCGGGUCUAGUGGCGCACGGGUGCGUAACGCGUGGGAACCUGCCCUUAGGUUCGGAAUAACUCCCCGAAAGGGGUGCUAAUACCGGAUAAUGUCUUCGGACCAAAGAUUUAUCGCCUUUGGAUGGGCCCGCGUUGGUUUAGCUAGUUGGUAGGGUAAAAGCCUACCAAGGCGACGAUCCAUAGCUGGUCUGAGAGGAUGAUCAGCCACACUGGGACUGAGACACGGCCCAGACUCCUACGGGAGGCAGCAGUGGGGAAUAUUGGACAAUGGGCGAAGGCCUGAUGCAGCAAUGCCGCGUGAGUGAUGAAGGCCUUAGGGUUGUAAAGCUCUUUUACCCGGGAUGAUAAUGACAGUACCGGGAGAAUAAGCACCGGCUAACUCCGUG